GCCCUAUGGGUCGUAAACUCCUUUUGUGGGGGAAGAAUGUUUCGCUACAGGCGAACAUGACGGUACCCCAUGAAUAAGCACCGGCUAACUACGUGCCAGCAGCCGCGGUAAUACGUAGGGUGCGAGCGUUGUCCGGAUUCAUUGGGUGUAAAGGGUCCGCAGGUGGGUUGGUAAGUCGUUGGUGAAAUUCUAGGGCUUAACCCUGGGACUGCCGACGAUACUGCCGAUCUUGAGUACGGAAGAGGAAGAUGGAAUUCCUGGUGUAGCGGUGAAAUGCGUAGAUAUCAGGAAGAACACCGGUGGCGAAGGCGGUCUUCUGGUCCGUUACUGACGCUCAGGGACGAAAGCGUGGGGAGCAAACAGGAUUAGAUACCCGAGUAGUCCA
rnacentral:rRNA from 1 species